rnacentral:rRNA from 1 species
UGCGUAGGUGGUGAGGUAAGUCGGAUGUGAAAUCUCGGAGCUCAACUCCGAAACUGCAUUGGAAACUACCUCGCUCGAGGGUUGGAGGGGGGACUGGAAUACUUGGUGUAGCAGUGAAAUGCGUAGAUAUCAAGUGGAACACCAGUGGCGAAGGCGAGUCCCUGGACAACUCCUGACACUGAGGCACGAAAGCUAGGGAGCAAACA